CUGGCGGCAUGCCUUACACAUGCAAGUCGAACGGUAACAGGUCUUCGGAUGCUGACAAGUGGCGAACGGGUGAGUAAUACAUCGGAACGUGCCCGAUCGUGGGGGAUAACGGAGCGAAAGCUUUGCUAAUACCGCAUACGAUCUACGGAUGAAAGCAGGGGACCGCAAGGCCUUGCGCUCAUGGAGCGGCCGAUGGCAGAUUAGGUAGUUGGUGGGAUAAAAGCUUACCAAGCCGACGAUCUGUAGCUGGUCUGAGAGGACGACCAGCCACACUGGGACUGAGACACGGCCCAGACUCCUACGGGAGGCAGCAGUGGGGAAUUUUGGACAAUGGGCGAAAGCCUGAUCCAGCCAUGCCGCGUGCAGGAUGAAGGCCUUCGGGUUGUAAACUGCUUUUGUACGGAACGAAAAGACUCCUUCUAAUAAAGGGGGUUCAUGACGGUACCGUAAGAAUAAGCACCGGCUAACUACGUGCCAGCAGCCGCGGUAAUACGUAGGGUGCAAGCGUUAAUCGGAAUUACUGGGCGUAAAGCGUGCGCAGGCGGUUAUAUAAGACAGAUGUGAAAUCCCCGGGCUCAACCUGGGAACUGCAUUUGUGACUGUAUAGCUAGAGUACGGCAGAGGGGGAUGGAAUUCCGCGUGUAGCAGUGAAAUGCGUAGAUAUGCGGAGGAACACCGAUGGCGAAGGCAAUCCCCUGGGCCUGUACUGACGCUCAUGCACGAAAGCGUGGGGAGCAAACA
rnacentral:rRNA from 1 species